rnacentral:rRNA from 1 species
AGAGUUUGAUCAUGGCUCAGAAUCAACGCUGGCGGCGCGCUUAACACAUGCAAGUCGCACGAGAAAGCAGGAGCAAUCCUGUGAGUACAGUGGCGUACGGGUGAGUAACACGUGGGUAAUCUAACCUUUAGUGGGGAAUAACGCUGGGAAACCGGCGCUAAUACCGCAUAAGCUCGAGAGAGGAAAGCAGCAAUGCGCUGAAGGAGGAGCCCGCGGCCGAUUAGCUAGUUGGUAGGGUAAAGGCCUACCAAGGCAUAGAUCGGUAGCCGGCCUGAGAGGGCACACGGCCACACUGGCACUGAAACACGGGCCAGACUCCUACGGGAGGCAGCAGUGGGGAAUCUUGCACAAUGGGGGCAACCCUGAUGCAGCGACGCCGCGUGAGCGAUGAAGCCCUUCGGGGUGUAAAGCUCUUUCGUCAGGGACGAUAAUGACGGUACCUGGAGAAGCAGCUGCGGCUAACUACGUGCCAGCAGCCGCGGUAAUACGUAGGCAGCGAGCGUUGUUCGGAGUUACUGGGCGUAAAGGGUGUGUAGGCGGUUUUCUAAGUUUGGUGUGAAAUCUCCCGGCUUAACCGGGAGGGUGCGCCGAAAACUGGGAGACUAGAGUGCGGGAUGGGAGAGUAGAAUUCCUGGUGUAGCGGUGAAAUGCGUAGAUAUCAGGAGGAAUACCGGUGGUGCAGACGGCUCUCUGGACCGCAACUGACGCUGAGACACGAAAGCGUGGGUAGCAAACAGGAUUAGAUACCCUAGUAGUCC